rnacentral:snRNA from 1 species
UGGGGGCCGGCGAUGCGU